CAGUGACAAGGUGCCCAGCUCGCGGGAUUAGUCAUCCACCUUUCUGAUAAGAAAAGUGAAAACACGAAGUUGAAAACUGCAGACCCCCAGCAACUUCCUGAAUCCAGCUCUCCGCGUCCUGCCCUAAGGAACGGGCGCCUCCCAAAAAGGAAUCGUUAGUGGAAGUCCCACGUUUCGCUGGCGUUGGAAGGGGAAGUGCUUCGGUUUCAGGAUCUCACCUCACUGCCGGAACCUCCUUAAUUAUCAGAUGCAGCCCCGAAUCCUCCAACACGCUUCAGCCAACAGACUUGUCCUUCAGUAAUCACAGUAGCCUGUCGUCCAGCUGAAAGCAUCUUUUGGAAAAUACGUGGAGUUUAUUUUGUGAAGAUCUUCAUUGUGAUGAAGCUCGACUCAAGGUGACAGUGUUUUCAAAGGAAGCCACAAACCAAGAAGUCACACACAGACCCUUGUGAUGACAUUGGACCCACCUGUGUAACCCAAGAUAAUUUCUCCAUCUCUAAGUCAGCUGAUCGGCAAGGUUAAUUCCAUCUUCAACAGUGAUUCCCCUUUGCCAGGGCUUCUCUCCGGACCAUGCUUCUCCUCCCAAGACUCCAGCAGGGGUCUGAAAGCAAACGCUGAAAGGUGGAAACCCUGGCUCAUCUGGAUCCGCCCUCUCAAGGGCCUUUGGGGCCUUGCUGGGGACCCGCAACUGGGAGCCCAUCAGGGAUGCCAGCCACCUCCCUGGCCGAGGAAGCUAAAGGCUGGAGCGAGGCCCGGGCUUCCUCCCCGAGUCUGCUGUCGGCAGCAGGGCCGGGACGUCAGUGGUU
rnacentral:lncRNA from 1 species